rnacentral:rRNA from 1 species
GAUGAACGCUGGCGGCAUGCCUAACACAUGCAAGUCGGACGGGAAGUGGUGUUUCCAGUGGCGGUCGGGUGAGUAACGGGUGAGAAACUGCCCUGGGGAUGGGAACAACAGCUGGAAACGGUUGCUAAGAGCCCGCAGGCUGAGGAGCAGAAGGUAGAAUGCGCCCGAGGGGUGGCUUGCGUCUGAUUUGCUAGUUGGUGCGUCAAUAGCUUACCCAGGCGGUGGGCAGAAGUGGUACCGAGAGGACGAUCGGCCACACUGCGACGGAGACGCGGCGAAGGCACCUACGGGCGACAGGCGUGAGCAUUACUCCGCAAUGGGCGGUGGCCUGACGAGGCCCUGCGGCCUGGAGAUAGAGGGACCACGGGUGGUGAACUGCUUUACCAGGAGAAGACGUCAUGACGGUAUCUGGGGAAUAAGCCACGGCUAACUCUGUG